rnacentral:rRNA from 1 species
AGUGAACGCUGGCGGCGUGCUUAACACAUGCAAGUCGAACGAGAAACGGAUUUAGCUUGCUAAAUUGCAGUCUAAGUGGCGCACGGGUGAGUAAUGUAUAGGUAACAUGCCUUCUACUAGGGGAUAACAGUUGGAAACGACUGCUAAUACCCUAUAUUCCUUAUUAGCACAAGUGUGUAAGGGAAAGAUUCAUUGGUAGAAGAUUGGCCUAUAUUGUAUCAGCUAGUUGGUAGUGUAAUGGACUGCCAAGGCUAUGACGCAUAACUGGUUUGAGAGGAUGAUCAGUCACACUGGAACUGAGACACGGUCCAGACUCCUACGGGAGGCAGCAGUGGGGAAUAUUGCACAAUGGGCGAAAGCCUGAUGCAGCAACGCCGCGUGGAGGAUGACACAUUUCGGUGCGUAAACUCCUUUUAUAUGGGAAGAUAAUGACGGUACCAUAUGAAUAAGCACCGGCUAACUCCGU